rnacentral:lncRNA from 1 species
UAGGUGCCGAUUUGGUUUUAUUCAUGUCGUCAACAAUGACUACAAUCACUGGUUCCUGUAUGCCAUUGGCGGCACCAGCAACCCUACAAUUAUCAGCCAGGGAAAUAGGUAUUCAGCGCCAGGCUUUGGGGCUAAAGAGGUGACCUGUAGGGGCCUCUUAAAGCCGGGACAGUGGAAGAAUUGGAAUUGGGUAUCACAAGGUGACCACUUCGAGAACGGUGCCUUCUUUACACCAUCAGGUAAUCCAAGUGCCAGCAAGCAAUUUGGCGCCGACAAAAUGAUGCCUUUCAAACCUGGUCAAAUGGUCCCCGAGCUCACAAAGUAUGCCGGACCACUAAGCUGCACAAUCGGCCGUCCUUGCUAAAAAUGCUAUUUUUAUAUGCAUUUGUCCUCCCUUUUUUACGUACAAUAUUUGAUACCCAAGCAUAGUACAUUUGGUAUCUUUUCUGAAUGAUUGUCAGUAAAUUUUCUUUUAUGCGAUCCCACCCUAUUCUCUUCUUCUCUCCUAGUAAUAGAUAAUCACAAUUUUUUUCUCACGCGUGACUGUGGAAAUCAUAAAUUUAGAACAUAAAUGUUUGUUUGAAAAUAACAUAUAAUGAAUAAUGAAAUGUGUGGUUUGAAAUAAAGUAACAAUAAUAACAUUGAUUAUCAUGGUGUUUUCAUCAAUCUUUAGUUGGUGUAGGCACCAAAUCAAUCAAAUACAUUAAUCUAACAUAUCUAGUAUAUAUAUUCUAUUGCAAGGUUUUUUUGGAUUUGUGGAAACCUUCAGUUUGAAGUGAGUUUAGAAUUCGCUAUGCGUCACCAAUCAUUUCAUGACAGCAAUGGAAAUUAAUGAAAUAAAAUAUUUGGUUAGAACUAAAGUUGCGUAAUUAAUUAAAAAUUUUAACAAUCGCGAGACCAUUUAGUUUCUAUAAAUUUUGCAUGUCCCAACUUACAUAUUCGGGUAAUUAGUCAUUUGUCAAAACACAUCAAAGUGAGAAAAGAAAGAAACAAGAAUCAUGGUCAUUCCUCAUAUAGUUAUAUUCGUAAUAAUGCAAUCGCAACGGUGAUUCCACCAGGUGUUCUUGCAUCACCAAGAACUAAAUUGAUUUUCUAGAACAAGAUUUAUAAUGGAGACAUCAAGUAUGUAUUUAAGGUGGUGUAUGAGUUAGAUUUCUUUAAGACUCAGCGGGGGUCGGGGAGCCGCCCAAGACAUUGCUUUUACCAGUAUAAAGUCAAAUACCGAAGCAAAAAAACUUGCAAAGCCGAGAGGACAUAGGAUUAAUAAUUCAGCACCUAUGUUUUGAGUUGCUCCAUAGUUGACGCGUGGUAUCAGCUUAGUAAGGGCUUAAAUAAUCGUAUAGAUAUUUAUAAUUGAUGGACAUAAUAAAGUAUGCUUAACAAAUUUGAAAAUCAAAAAAGAAAAUCAAUGUCUUGGUACAGUGUUAAAUUUAUGGUUUUACUAGCAUAAUAAUUGAUUUGGGUUCAAAUCCCUUCGACAACAUAUUUUAUAUUCUUUUAAAACAAUAAGAAUUAAAAUAACCUUCAAUAAUAUAACUUAUUUUAAACAUGACAGGAAUGUAUUUCUAAUUUCCGUAAUAGAGUCGAUGCUCGAUCGACUCAUGUCACCGAAUUAGUUAAGGACUUCAAUAAAUGUUAGUAUAGAUUGUAACAAUAAUGAAAUAUGCAUUAAAAAUCACCACAGAGGUUCAAUAUACACUCGAAUCUCUGUACUCUUUUAGACUUUUAAAAUUUGAAUACAUAGUGCUUUUAUAUUCAAAGGUCCAAGUAAUAAAUUAGAGUCCAAUUCAUAUCACAUAUUCAGAUUUGAGAGAAAUAAAUAAACUCUCUUACCAAUUGAACUUUUAUUUUUUAAAUCAACCAAGUGCAAGGAUUAAAAUCUUGAAAUUGAAAGGAGAGAGGUUUCAUCUGGAAAUGUUGAAGAGUAAAGGGAUUGGAGGAUAAUUAGAGAUUUUUUUUGUAAUUUCUGAAAUUAGACGUUUAGAAUGGUCUAAAAAAUGCAAGAAAACCUCAACUGUUUCUAUCCAAAAAAAAGGAAACAAAAUCCAACCAUUUUUUACGCACUUGAAACACUAGUAGCCAAGUGUGUUUUGUAAAUUUGGAAAUUUUCAUGAAUCCCGGUGUACUAUAAAUAGUGACAUAAUGAUGGUGUUCCAAGCAAAUCAUGCUCGAGUUCAAGUUUUUGGUGCCGUAGCUUGUCUCUCCUGUCCUAUUAGGGUCCUGUUUGCAUCCAACCAGUUGUUUCCAAGAGCUAGGCUUUGAUACUUAAAAUAAGAACCACUAUGGGUAUUUCUAGUUAUAGUUUCUUUCUGUUUUUAUUUGUUGUCAUAAUCCCAACCCUAGAAGCUCAUAUCGCUGAGUAUGACGAGUACUGGACGGCACGAGAAUUGGAAGCCAUUGAGAACCUGGACAAGGCCUAUCACUCCAACCCGGAGGAGGUGGUCCGCCAUUACAAUGACCACUUCUCUAGGACCAUGCUCGAGUUUUAUAUCACCAAAAGGGUGUUGGCAGAAUCAAAAAAGGGUCCCUGUGAGGUUACCAACCACGUUGACAGUUGCUGGCGAUGUGAUCCUGACUGGGAAAAGAAUAGGAAGAAGUUGGCCAACUGUGCCCCUGGAUUUGCUCGAGGUACUACCGGUGGAAAGGAUGGUGAGUUUUACGUGGUCACUGACCCUAUUGAUAAUGCUGCUGACCCCAAGCCUGGAACUCUGCGUCAUGCUGUCACCCAAACUGGACCACUUUGGAUCACUUUCAAAGGGUCCAUGACCAUCAAGCUGCAACAGGAGCUCAUUGUUACAAGUGAUAAGACCAUUGAUGCGAGGGGAGCCAAUGUGGAAAUUUGUAAUGGUGCUGGUAUCACUAUCCAAUUUGUGAAGAAUAUCAUUAUCCAUGGCCUUCAAAUCCAUCACAUUAUUCCCGCCAAGGGUGGCAAGAUCAAGGAUGGUGAAAACCACCAUGGGUUACGGGGUGACAGCGACGGAGACGGGGUGUCUAUUUUUGGAUCAACCAAUGUUUGGCUUGACCAUCUUGCCCUUCACCAUUGCGCCGAUGGCCUUAUCGAUGUCGUUCAAGGAUCAACUGCCGUUACCGUUUCUAACUGCCACUUCACUGACCAUAACGAUGUAAGCUUACUUUCCUUUCAAUUUUAAACUACGCACGAUGAGGAAUUUUUUGAUUGACAAAAAUAAUACAAUUGAAAUGAAAAAAAUUACAGGUGAUGUUGUUUGGAGCAAGCGACUCUUACAGUGCCGACAAGAAGAUGCAGGUCACUGUUGCUUUGAACCACUUCGGUAAAGGAUUGGUAGAGAGGAUGCCUAGGUGCCGAUUUGGUUUUAUUCAUGUCGUCAACAAUGACUACAAUCACUGGUUCCUGUAUGCCAUUGGCGGCACCAGCAACCCUACAAUUAUCAGCCAGGGAAAUAGGUAUUCAGCGCCAGGCUUUGGGGCUAAAGAGGUGACCUGUAGGGGCCUCUUAAAGCCGGGACAGUGGAAGAAUUGGAAUUGGGUAUCACAAGGUGACCACUUCGAGAACGGUGCCUUCUUUACACCAUCAGGUAAUCCAAGUGCCAGCAAGCAAUUUGGCGCCGACAAAAUGAUGCCUUUCAAACCUGGUCAAAUGGUCCCCGAGCUCACAAAGUAUGCCGGACCACUAAGCUGCACAAUCGGCCGUCCUUGCUAAAAAUGCUAUUUUUAUAUGCAUUUGUCCUCCCUUUUUUACGUACAAUAUUUGAUACCCAAGCAUAGUACAUUUGGUAUCUUUUCUGAAUGAUUGUCAGUAAAUUUUCUUUUAUGCGAUCCCACCCUAUUCUCUUCUUCUCUCCUAGUAAUAGAUAAUCACAAUUUUUUUCUCACGCGUGACUGUGGAAAUCAUAAAUUUAGAACAUAAAUGUUUGUUUGAAAAUAACAUAUAAUGAAUAAUGAAAUGUGUGGUUUGAAAUAAAGUAACAAUAAUAACAUUGAUUAUCAUGGUGUUUUCAUCAAUCUUUAGUUGGUGUAGGCACCAAAUCAAUCAAAUACAUUAAUCUAACAUAUCUAGUAUAUAUUCUAUUGCAAGGUUAUUUUGGAUUUGUGGAAACCUUCAGUUUGAAGUGAGUUUAGAAUUCGCUAUGCGUCACCAAUCAUUUCAUGACAGCAAUGGAAAUUAAUGAAAUAAAAUAUUUGGUUAGAACUAAAGUUGCGUAAUUAAUUAAAAAUUUUAACAAUCGCGAGACCAUUUAGUUUCUAUAAAUUUUGCAUGUCCCAACUUACAUAUUCGGGUAAUUAGUCAUUUGUCAAAACACAUCAAAGUGAGAAAAGAAAGAAACAAGAAUCAUGGUCAUUCCUCUAUAGUUAUAUUCGUAAUAAUGCAAUCGCAACGGUGAUUCCACCAGGUGUUCUUGCAUCACCAAGAACUAAAUUGAUUUUCUAGAACAAGAUUUAUAAUGGAGACAUCAAGUAUGUAUUUAAGGUGGUGUAUGAGUUAGAUUUCUUUAAGACUCAGCGGGGGUCGGGGAGCCGCCCAAGACAUUGCUUUUACCAGUAUAAAGUCAAAUACCGAAGCAAAAAAACUUGCAAAGCCGAGAGGACAUAGGAUUAAUAAUUCAGCACCUAUGUUUUGAGUUGCUCCAUAGUUGACGCGUGGUAUCAGCUUAGUAAGGGCUUAAAUAAUCGUAUAGAUAUUUAUAAUUGAUGGACAUAAUAAAGUAUGCUUAACAAAUUUGAAAAUCAAAAAAGAAAAUCAAUGUCUUGGUACAGUGUUAAAUUUAUGGUUUUACUAGCAUAAUAAUUGAUUUGGGUUCAAAUCCCUUCGACAACAUAUUUUAUAUUCUUUUAAAACAAUAAGAAUUAAAAUAACCUUCAAUAAUAUAACUUAUUUUAAACAUGACAGGAAUGUAUUUCUAAUUUCCGUAAUAGAGUCGAUGCUCGAUCGACUCAUGUCACCGAAUUAGUUAAGGACUUCAAUAAAUGUUAGUAUAGAUUGUAACAAUAAUGAAAUAUGCAUUAAAAAUCACCACAGAGGUUCAAUAUACACUCGAAUCUCUGUACUCUUUUAGACUUUUAAAAUUUGAAUACAUAGUGCUUUUAUAUUCAAAGGUCCAAGUAAUAAAUUAGAGUCCAAUUCAUAUCACAUAUUCAGAUUUGAGAGAAAUAAAUAAACUCUCUUACCAAUUGAACUUUUAUUUUUUAAAUCAACCAAGUGCAAGGAUUAAAAUCUUGAAAUUGAAAGGAGAGAGGUUUCAUCUGGAAAUGUUGAAGAGUAAAGGGAUUGGAGGAUAAUUAGAGAUUUUUUUUUGUAAUUUCUGAAAUUAGACGUUUAGAAUGGUCUAAAAAAUACAAGAAAACCUCAACUGUUUCUAUCCAAAAAAAAGGAAACAAAAUCCAACCAUUUUUUACGCACUUGAAACACUAGUAGCCAAGUGUGUUUUGUAAAUUUGGAAAUUUUCAUGAAUCCCGGUGUACUAUAAAUAGUGACAUAAUGAUGGUGUUCCAAGCAAAUCAUGCUCGAGUUCAAGUUUUUGGUGCCGUAGCUUGUCUCUCCUGUCCUAUUAGGGUCCUGUUUGCAUCCAACCAGUUGUUUCCAAGAGCUAGGCUUUGAUACUUAAAAUAAGAACCACUAUGGGUAUUUCUAGUUAUAGUUUCUUUCUGUUUUUAUUUGUUGUCAUAAUCCCAAACCUAGAAGCUCAUAUCGCUGAGUAUGACGAGUACUGGACGGCACGAGAAUUGGAAGCCAUUGAGAACCUGGACAAGGCCUAUCACUCCAACCCGGAGGAGGUGGUCCGCCAUUACAAUGACCACUUCUCUAGGACCAUGCUCGAGUUUUAUAUCACCAAAAGGGUGUUGGCAGAAUCAAAAAAGGGUCCCUGUGAGGUUACCAACCACGUUGACAGUUGCUGGCGAUGUGAUCCUGACUGGGAAAAGAAUAGGAAGAAGUUGGCCAACUGUGCCCCUGGAUUUGCUCGAGGUACUACCGGUGGAAAGGAUGGUGAGUUUUACGUGGUCACUGACCCUAUUGAUAAUGCUGCUGACCCCAAGCCUGGAACUCUGCGUCAUGCUGUCACCCAAACUGGACCACUUUGGAUCACUUUCAAAGGGUCCAUGACCAUCAAGCUGCAACAGGAGCUCAUUGUUACAAGUGAUAAGACCAUUGAUGCGAGGGGAGCCAAUGUGGAAAUUUGUAAUGGUGCUGGUAUCACUAUCCAAUUUGUGAAGAAUAUCAUUAUCCAUGGCCUUCAAAUCCAUCACAUUAUUCCCGCCAAGGGUGGCAAGAUCAAGGAUGGUGAAAACCACCAUGGGUUACGGGGUGACAGCGACGGAGACGGGGUGUCUAUUUUUGGAUCAACCAAUGUUUGGCUUGACCAUCUUGCCCUUCACCAUUGCGCCGAUGGCCUUAUCGAUGUCGUUCAAGGAUCAACUGCCGUUACCGUUUCUAACUGCCACUUCACUGACCAUAACGAUGUAAGCUUACUUUCCUUUCAAUUUUAAACUACGCACGAUGAGGAAUUUUUUGAUUGACAAAAAUAAUACAAUUGAAAUGAAAAAAAUUACAGGUGAUGUUGUUUGGAGCAAGCGACUCUUACAGUGCCGACAAGAAGAUGCAGGUCACUGUUGCUUUGAACCACUUCGGUAAAGGAUUGGUAGAGAGGAUGCCUAGGUGUCCGAUUUGGUUUUAUUCAUGUCGUCAACAAUGACUACAAUCACUGGUUCCUGUAUGCCAUUGGCGGCACCAGCAACCCUACAAUUAUCAGCCAGGGAAAUAGGUAUUCAGCGCCAGGCUUUGGGGCUAAAGAGGUGACCUGUAGGGGCCUCUUAAAGCCGGGACAGUGGAAGAAUUGGAAUUGGGUAUCACAAGGUGACCACUUCGAGAACGGUGCCUUCUUUACACCAUCAGGUAAUCCAAGUGCCAGCAAGCAAUUUGGCGCCGACAAAAUGAUGCCUUUCAAACCUGGUCAAAUGGUCCCCGAGCUCACAAAGUAUGCCGGACCACUAAGCUGCACAAUCGGCCGUCCUUGCUAAAAAUGCUAUUUUUAUAUGCAUUUGUCCUCCCUUUUUUACGUACAAUAUUUGAUACCCAAGCAUAGUACAUUUGGUAUCUUUUCUGAAUGAUUGUCAGUAAAUUUUCUUUUAUGCGAUCCCACCCUAUUCUCUUCUCCUCUCCUACUAAUAGAUAAUCACAAUUUUUUUCGAACGCGUAACUGUGGAAGUCAGAAAUUUUUAACAUAAAUGUUUGUUUGAAAAUAACAUAUAAUGAAUAAUGAAAUGUGUGGUUUGAAAUAAAGUAACAAUAAUAACAUUGAUUAUCAUGGUGUUUUCCUCAAUCUUUAGUUGGUGUAGGCACCAAAUCAAUCAAAUACAUUAAUCUAACAUAUCUAGUAUAUAUAUUCUAUUGCAAGGUUAUUUUGGAUUUGUGGAAACCUUCAGUUUGAAGUGAGUUUAGAAUUCGCUAUGCGUCACCAAUCAUUUCAUGACAGGAAUGGAAAUUAAUGAAAUAAAAUAUUUGGUUAGAACUAAAGUUGCGUAAUUAAUUAAAAAUUUUAACAAUCGCGAGACCAUUUAGUUUCUAUAAAUUUUGUAUGUCCCGACUUACAUAUUCGGGUAAUUAGUCAUUUGUCAAAACACAUCAAAGUGAGAAAAGAAAAAAACAAGAAUCAUGAGCAUUCCUCAUAUAGUAAUAUUCAUAAUAAUGCAAUCGCAACGGUGAUUCCACCAGGUGUUCUUGCAUCACCAAGAACUAAAUUGAUUUUCUAGAACAACAUUUAUAAUGGAGACAUCAAGUAUGUAUUUAAGGUGGUGUAUGAGUUUGAUUUCUUUAAGACUCGGCGGGGGUCGGGGAGCCGCCCAAGACAUUGCUUUUACCAGUAUAAAGUCAAAUACUGAAGCAAAAAAACUUGCAAAGCCGAGAGGACAUAGGAUUAAUAAUUCAGCAUCUAUGUUUUGAGUUGUUCCAUAGUUGACGCGUGGUAUCAGCUUAGUAAGGGCUUAAAUAAUCGUAGAGACAUUUAUAAUUGAUGGACAUAAUUAAGUAUGCGUAACAAAUUUGAAAUUCAUAAAAGAAAAUCAAUGCUUUGGUACAGUGUUAAAUUUAAGGUUUUACUAGCAUAAUAAUUUAAGUCACCACAGAGGUUCAAUAUACACUCGAAUCUCUGUACUCUUUUAGACUUUUAAAAUUUGAAUACAUAGUGCUUUUAUAUUCAAAGGUCCAAGUAAUAAAUUAGAGUCCAAUUCAUAUCACAUAUUCAGAUUUGAGAGAAAUAAAUAAACUCUCUUACCAAUUGAACUUUUAUUUUUUAAAUCAACCAAGUGCAAGGAUUAAAAUCUUGAAAUUGAAAGGAGAGAGGUUUCAUCUGGAAAUGUUGAAGAGUAAAGGGAUUGGAGGAUAAUUAGAGAUUUUUUUUUGUAAUUUCUGAAAUUAGACGUUUAGAAUGGUCUAAAAAAUACAAGAAAACCUCAACUGUUUCUAUCCAAAAAAAAGGAAACAAAAUCAACCAUUUUUUACGCACUUGAAACACUAGUAGCCAAGUGUGUUUUGUAAAUUUGGAAAUUUUCAUGAAUCCCGGUGUACUAUAAAUAGUGACAUAAUGAUGGUGUUUCCAAGCAAAUCAUGCUCGAGUUCAAGUUUUUGGUGCCGUAGCUUGUCUCUCCUGUCCUAUUAGGGUCCUGUUUGCAUCCAACCAGUUGUUUCCAAGAGCUAGGCUUGAUACUUAAAAUAAGAACCACUAUGGGUAUUUCUAGUUAUAGUUUCUUUCUGUUUUUAUUUGUUGUCAUAAUCCCAAACCUAGAAGCUCAUAUCGCUGAGUAUGACGAGUACUGGACGGCACGAGAAUUGGAAGCCAUUGAGAACCUGGACAAGGCCUAUCACUCCAACCCGGAGGAGGUGGUCCGCCAUUACAAUGACCACUUCUCUAGGACCAUGCUCGAGUUUUAUAUCACCAAAAGGGUGUUGGCAGAAUCAAAAAAGGGUCCCUGUGAGGUUACCAACCACGUUGACAGUUGCUGGCGAUGUGAUCCUGACUGGGAAAAGAAUAGGAAGAAGUUGGCCAACUGUGCCCCUGGAUUUGCUCGAGGUACUACCGGUGGAAAGGAUGGUGAGUUUUACGUGGUCACUGACCCUAUUGAUAAUGCUGCUGACCCGAAUCCUAGAACUCUACGUCAUCUUGUCACCAAAAAUGGACCACUUUGGAUCAUUUUCAAAGGGCCCAUGACCAUCAAGCUGCAAGAGGAGCUCAUUGUUACAAGUGAUAAAACCAUUGAUGCGAGGGGAGCCAAUGCGGAAAUUUUUACUGGUACUGGUAUCACUAUCCAAUUUCCAAAGAACGUCAUUAUCCAUGGCCUUUAAGUCCAUCUCAUUAUUCCCGCUAAGGGUGGCAAGAUCAAGGAUGGUGAAAACCACCAUGGGUUACGAGGUGACAGCGACGGAGAUGGGGUCUCUCUUUACGGAGCAACCAAUGUUUGGCUCGACCAUCUUUCCCUUCACCAUUGCACCGAUGGCCUUAUCGAUCUCGUUCAAGGAUCAACUGCCGUUACCAUUUCUAGCUGCCACUUCACUGACCACAACGAUGUAAGCUUACUUUCCUUUGUAUUUUAAACUAGGCACGAUGAGGAAUUUUUUGAUUGACAAAAAUAAUACAAUUGAAAUGUAAAAAAUUACAGGUGAUGUUGUUUAGAGCAAGCGACUCCUACAGUGCCGACAAUAAGAUGCAGGUCACUGUUGCUUUGAACCACUUCGGUAAAGGAUUGGUAGAGAGGAUGCCUAGGUGGCGAUUUGGUUUUAUUCAUGUCGUCAACAAUGACUACAAUCACUGGUUCCUGUAUGCCAUUGGCGGCACCAGCAACCCUACAAUUAUUAGCCAGGGCAAUAGGUAUUCUACGCCAGUCACCUGUAGGGGCCUCUUAAAGCCAGCACAGUGGAAGAAUUGGAACUGGGUAUCACAAGGUGACCACUUUGAGAACGGUGCGUUUUUGCACCAUCCGGUAAUCCAAGUGCCAGCAAGUAAUUUGGUACUGACAAAAUGAUUCCUUUCAAACCCGGUCAAAUGGUCUUCGAACUCACAAAGUAUGCCGGACCACUCAACUGCACAAUCAGCCGUCCUUGCUAAAAAUGCUAUUUUAUAUGCAUGUGUCCUCUGUUUUACGUACAAUAUUUGAUACCCAAGCGUAGUACAUUUGGUAUCUUUUCUGAAUGAUUGUCAGUAAAUUUUCUGUUAUGUGAUUCCACCCUAUUCUCUUCUUCACUCCUACUAAUAGAUAAUUACAAUUUUUUUCACACGCGUAACUGUGCAAAUCAUAAAUUUAGAACAUAAAUGUUUGUUUGAAAAUAACAUAUAAUGAAUAAUGAAAUGUGUGGUUUGAAACAAAGUAACAAUAAUAACAUUGAUUAUCAUAGUGUUUUCAUCAAUCUUUAGUUGGUGUAGGCACCAAAUCAAUGAAAUACAUUAAUCUAACAUAUCUAGUAUAUAUAUUCUAUUGCAAGGUUUUUUUGGAUUUGUGGAAACCUUCAGUUUGAAGUGAGUUUAGAAUUUGGUAUGUGUCACCAAUCAUUUCUUGACGGGUAUGGAAAUUAAUGAAAUAAAAUAUAUGGUUAGAACUAAAGUUGCGUAUUUAAUUAAAAAUUCUAACAAUCGUGAGACCAUUUAGUUUCUAUAAAUUUUGUAUGUCCCAAUUUACAUAGUCGGGUACUCAGUCAUUUGUCAAAACACAUCAAAGUGAGAAAAGAAAGAAACAAGAAUCAUGAGCGUUCCUCAUAUAGUAAUAUUCCUAAUAAUGCAAUCACAACGGCGAUUCCACUCUGUGUUCUUUCAUCACCAUGAACUAAAUUGAUUUUUUACAACAACAUUUAUAAUCGAGACAUCAACUAUGCAUUUAAGGUGGUGUAUGAGUUAUAUUUCUUUAAGACUCAGUGAGGGUUGGGGAGUCGUCCAAGACAUUGCUUUUACCAGUAUAAAGUCAAAUACAAAAGCAAAAAAACUUGCAAAGCCGAGAGGACAUAGGAUUAAUAAUUCGGUAUCUAUGUUUUGAGUUGCUCCUUAGUUGACGCAUGGUAUCAGCUUAGUAAGGGCUUAAAUAAUCGUAUAGAUAUUUAUAAUUGAUGGAGGUAAUAAAGCAUGCGUAACAAAAUUGAAAUUCAUAAAAGAAAAUCAAUGUUUAGGUACAGUGUUAAAUUUAAGGUUUUAGUAGCAUAAUAAUUGAUGUGGGUUCAAAUCCCUUCGACAACAUAUUUUAUAUUCUUUUAAAGUAAUAAGAAUUAAAAUAACCUUCAAUAAUAUAACUUAUUUCAAACAUGAAAGGAAAGUAUUUCUAAUUUCUGUUAUAGAGUGAUGCUCGAUCGACUCAUGUCACCAAAUUAGUUAAGGACUUCUAUAAAAGUUAGUAUAGAUUGUAACGAUAAUGAAAUAUGCAUUAAAAAUGACCAUAGAGGUUCAAUUUCCCCUUGAAUCUCUAUACUCUUUUAGACUUUUAAAAUUUGAAUACAUAGUACUUUUAUAUUCACAAGUCCAAGUAAUAAAUUAGAGUCCAAUUCAUAUCACAUAUUCAGAUUUAAGAGAAAUCAAUAAACUCUCUUACCAAUUAAACUUAUUUUUUAAAUCAGCCAAUGGAAGGAAUAAAAUCUUGAAAUUGAAAGGAGAGAGGUUUCAUAUGGAAAUGUUGAAGAGUAAAGAGAUUGGAGGAUAAUUAGAGAAUUUAUUUUCUGUAAUUUCUAAAAUUAAAGGUUCAGAAUGGCGUAAAAAAGGCAAGAAAAACCUCAAUUGUUUCUAUCUAAAAAAAAAGGAAACAAAAUCCAAAAAUUUUUUACGCACUUGUCACACUAGUAGGCAAGUGUGUUUUGUAAAUUUGGUACUUUAAAUGAAUCUUGGUGUACGAUAAAUAGUGACAUAAUGAUGAUGUUCCAAGCAAAUCAUGCUUGAGUUCAAGUUUUUUGUGUUGUAGCUUGUCUCUCCUAUCCUAUUAGGGUCUUGUUUGCAACCAACCAAUUGUUUCUAAAAGCGAGGCUUUGAUACAUAAAAUAAGAACCACUAUGGGUAUUUCUAGUUAUAGUUAUAGUUUCUUUCUAUUUUCAUUUGUUGUCAUAAUCCCAACCCUAGAAGCUCAUAUCGCUGAAUAUGACGAGUACUGGAAGGCACGAGAAUUGGAAGCCAUUGAGAACCUGGACAAGGCCUAUCAUUCCAACCCGGAGGAGGUGGUCCGCCAUUACAAUGACCACUUCUCUAGGACCAUGCUUGAGUUUUAUAUCACCAAAAGGGUGUUGGCAGAAUCAAAAAAGGAUCCCUUUGAGGUUACCAACCACGUUGACAGUUGCUGGCGAUAUGAUCUUGACUGGGAAAAGAACAGGAAGAAGUUGGUCGACUGUGCCCCUGGUUUUGCUCGUGGUACUACUGGUGGAAAGGAUGGUGAGUUUUACGUUGUCCCUAACCCUAUUGAUAACGCUGCUGACCCCAAGCCUGGAACUCUACGUCAUGCUGUCACCCAAACUGAACCACUUUGGAUCACUUUCAAAGGGUCCAUGACAAUCAAGCUGCAACAAGAGCUCAUUGUUACAAGUGAUAAAACCAUUGAUGCAAGGGAAGCCAAUGUGGAAAUUUUUAAUGGUGCUGGUAUCACUAUCCAAUAUGCGAAGAACGUCACUAACCAUGGCCUUCAAAUCCAUCACAUUAUUCCCGCCAAUGGUGGCAAGAUCAAGGAUGGUGAAAACCACCAUGGGUUACGUGGUGACAGCGACGGAGAUGGAGUCUCUCUUUUUGGAGCAACCAACGUUUGGCUCAACCAUCUUUCCCUUCACCAUUACACUGAUGGCCUUAUCGAUGUCGUUUAAGGAUCAACUGCUGUUACCAUUUCUAACUACCACUUCACUGACCACAACACUGUAAGCUUACUUUCCUUUCUAUUUUAAACUAGGCACGAUGAGGAAUUUUUUGAAUGAAAAAAAUAGUACAAUUGAAAUGAAAACAAUUACAGGUGAUGUUGUUUGGAGCAAGCGACUCUUACAGAGCCGACAAGAAGAUGCAGGUCACUGUUGCUUUGAACCACUUCGGUAAAGGAUUGGUAGAGAGGAUGCCUAGGUGCCGAUUUGGUUUUAUUCAUGUCGUCAACAAUGACUACAAUCACUGGUUCCUGUAUGCCAUUGGCGGCACCAGCAACCCUACAAUUAUCAGCCAGGGAAAUAGGUAUUCUGCACCAGGUACCUUCGGGGCUAAGAAGGUGACCUGUAGCGGCCUCUUAAAUCCAUCACAGUGAAAGAAUUGGAACUGGGUAUCACAGGGUGACCACUUCGAGAAGGGUGCCUUUUUUACACCAUCCGGUAAUCCAAGUGCCAGCAAGCAAAUUGGUGCUGACAAAAUGAUGCCUUUCAAACCCGGUCAAAUGGUCCCCGAACUCACAAAGUAUGCCGAACCACUUAGCUGCACGAUUGGCCGUCCUUGCUGAAAACGCUAUUUUUAUAUACAUGUGUCCUCCCUUUUUUACGUGCAAUAUUUGAUACCCAAGCAUAGUACAUUUGGGAUUUUCUGUGAAUCAUUGUUAGUAAAUUUUCUUUUAUGCGAUUCCACCCUAUUCUCUUCUUUUCUCCUACUAAUAGAUAAUUACAAUUUUUUGCACACGCGUAUCUGUGGGAAUCAUAUAUUUAGAACAGAUAUGUGUGUUUCAAAAUAACAUAUAAUGAAUAAGGAAAUGUGUGGUUUGAAACAAAGUAACAAUAAUAACAUUGAUUAUCAUGGUGUUUUCAUCAAUCUUUAGUUGGUGUAGGCACCAAAUCAAUCAAAUACAUUAAUCUAACAUAUCUAGUAUAUAUAUUCUACUGAAAGGUUUUGUUGGAUUUGUGGAAACCUUCAGUUUUAAGUGAGUUUGGAAUUCGCUAUGUGUAACCAAUCAUUUCAUGACAGGUAUGGAAAUUAAUGAAAUUAAAUAAUUUGCUAGAACUAAAGUUGCAUAAUUAAUUAAAAAUUUUAACAAUCGUGAGACCAUUUAGUUUCUAUAAAUUUUGUAUGUCCCAACAUACAUAUUCGAGUACUCAGUCAUUUUUCAAAACACAUCAAAUCGAGAAAAGAAAGAAAGAUUAAACAUGAGUGUUCCUCAUAUAGUAAUAUUCUUAUUACUGCAACCGCAAUGGCGAUUCAUCCCGGGGUUAUUGCAUCACCAUGAACUAAAUCGAUUUUUGACUACAACAUUUAUAAUGGAGACAUGAAGUUUGCAUUUAAGGUGGUGCAUGAGUUUGAUUUCUUUAAGGCUUAGCGAGGCUCGGGGAGUCGUCCAAGGCCCCUAAUACUUUUAAAAGAUUUCGUUAAAGAAGUUCAAUUUAUAAGUUUAAGCUUCCACAAAUAUCGUUGCUUUUACCCGUAUAGAGUCAAAUACCGAAGCAAAAAAACUUGCAAAGCCAAGAGGACAUAGGAUUAAUAAUUCGGCAUUGAUGUUUUGAGUUGAUCAUUAGUUGACGUGUGGUAUCAACUUAGUCAAGAGCUUAAAUAAUCAUAUAGAUAUUUAUAAUUGAUGGAUGCAAUAAAGUAUGCGUAAAAAAAUUGAAAUUCAUAAAAGAAAAUCAAUGUUUUGGUACAGUGUUAAAUUUAAGGUUUUAUUAACAUAAUAAUUGAUGUGGGUUCAAAUCCGUUUGACUGCAUAUUUUAUAUUCUUUUAGAAUAAUAAGAACUAAAAUAGCCUUCAAUAAUAUAACUUAUUUUAAACAUGACAGGAAAGUAUUUCUAAUUUCUGUAAUAUAGUCGUGUCACCGAAUUAGUUAAGGACAUCUAUAACAGUUAGUAUAAAUUGUAAAGAUAUUGAAAUAUGCAUUAAAAAUCACCACAGAGGUUCAAUUUCCCCUUGAAUCUCUGUACUCUUUUAGCCCUUUAAAAUUUCAUCGUCCUAUUUUUAAAAUUACAUGAAUUUGAUGCUUUACUUAUUGAGUUUAAUAUAAUUUUUGGAAAAAAAUCAAAUUGAUAGCACUACAAAAAAAUUCAUUAAAUUUGAAUACUUAGUACUUUUAUAUUCAAACGUCCAAUUAAAAAAUUAGAGUCCAAUUCAUAUCACAUAUUCAGAUAUAAGAGAAAUCAAUAAUCGUUCUUACCAAUUGAUCUUUUAUUUUUUAAAUCAGCUAAGUGGAAGGACUAAAAUCUUGAAAUUGAAAACAAAGAGGUUUCAUCUGGAAAUGUUGAAGAGUAGAGGGAUUGGAUGAUAAUUAAAGAAUUUAUUUUUGUAAUUUCUGAAAUUAGACGUUCAUAAUGGCGUAAAAAAUGCAAGAAAAACCUCAGCUGUUUCUAUCGAAAGAAAGGAAAAGAAAAUCCAAACAUUUUUUACGCGCUCGAAACACUGGUAGCCAAGUAUGUGUUGUAAAUUUGGUAAUUUUAGUGAAUCUCGGUGUAGUAUAAAUAGCAACAUAAUGAUGGUGUUCUAAGCAAAUCAAGCUCAAGUUCAAAUUUUUUUGUCAUAGCUUGUCUCUCCAAUCCUAUUAGGGUCUUGUUUGCAUCCAACCAGUUGUUUCCAAGGGAUAGGCUUUGAUAGUUAAAAUAAGAACCAUUAUGUGUAUUUCUAGUUAUAGUUAUAGUUUCUUUCUGUUGUUAUUUGUUGUCAUAAUGCCAAAACUAGAAGCUCAUAUUGCUGAAUAUCACAAGGUCUAUCUCCCCAACCCGGAGGAGGUGGUCCGCCAUUAUAAUAACCAUUUCUCUAGGACCAUGCUCGAGUUUUAUAUCACCAAAAGGAUGUUGGCAAAAUCGAAAAAGGGUCCCUGUGAGGUUACCAACCACGUUGAUAGUUGCUGGUGAUGUGAUCCUAACUAGGAAAAGAAUAGGAAGAAGUUGGCCGACUGUGCCCCUGGAUUUGCUCGUGGUACUAUCGGUGGAAAGGGUGGUAAGUUUUACGUGGUCACUGACUGUAUUGAUAAUGCUGCUGACCCCAAGCCUGGAACUCUUCUUCAUGUUGUCAUGCAAACUAGACAACUUUGGAUCUCUUUCAAAGGGUCCAUGACCAUCACGCUGAAAUAAGAGGUCAUUGUUACAAUUCAUAAGACCAUUGAUGCGAGGGGAACCAAUGUUGAAAUUUGCAAUAGUGCUAGUGUUAAAUUUGAGUUUUUACUAACAGAAUAAUUGAUGUGGGUUCAAAUCCCUUUGAAAGCAUAUUUUAUAUUUUUUAAAAUAAUAAAAACUAACAGAAUAAUUUAAGGUUUUAGAAUAAUAUAAUUUAUUUUAAAUACGAAAGGAGAGUAUUUCUGAUUUUCGUAAUAUAGUCGGUGCUCGAUUAACUCGUGUACUCUUUUAGACUUUUAAAAUUUCAUCCUUUUUUUUUAAAAAUUAAAUGAAUUUACUACUUUACUUAUUCAAUUUAAUAUAAAUUUUUUUAAAAUCUAAUUGAUAACAUUAAUAACAAAAUUCAUUAAAUUUGAAUACAUAGUAGUUUUAUAUUUAAAGGCACAAUUAAAAAAUUAUAGUCCAAUUCAUAUCACGUAUUCAGAAUUAAGAGAAAUCAAUAAACUCUCUUACCAAUUGGAAUUUUAUUUUUUAAAUCAGCCAAGUGGAAGGACUAAAAUCUUGAAAUUGAAAGCAAAAAGAUUUCAUCUUGAAAUGUUGAAGAGUAGAAGAAUUGGAGAAUAAUUAGAGAAUUUUUUUUUGUAAUUUCUUAAAUUAGAAAUUCAGAAUGGCAUAAAAUUUGCAAGAAAAACCUCAAUUGUUUCUCUCAAAAAAAAAUGGUAAGAAAACCCAAACGUUUUUUAGGCACUAGAAACACUGGUAGCCAAGUGUGUUUUGUAAAUUUGGUAAAUUUAAUAAAUCCCGGUGUACUAUAAAUAGCGACAUAAUUAUAGUGUUCCAAGCACGUCAAGCUCGAGUUCCACUUUUUGGUUUCGUAGCUUGUCUCUCCUAUCCUAUCAAGUCCUUUUUUCAUCUAACUAGUUUGUAACACCCUAACUCGUAUUCGUCGUUGAAAUAGGGUUACGAACAUUACUGAAGAUUUCAAAUCAAAACAAUCAAAAAUUUAAAACAUUUAAUUCACAUCAUCAAUUAUAGAAAAAACCAAUCAAAGACAUACAUAUUGUCCCUUAUUCGAGCCCUCGAGGCCCUAAAAACACAUUACAAACAUAUCAGGACUAAAUCAGAAACUGAUAAAAUUUUUCCUAAAAAGGUGAAAAUUUUCAAACAAUAGGGGUCACACGGCUGAGACACACGCUUGUGUCUCAAGCCAUAUGGGCAUUCGAAGUAGGGACACACGGUCGUGUCCCAACUCGUGUCUGAGCCUAUGUAACUCUCUAACUUAGGUCACACGGCCAAGCCACACACCCGUGUACUAGGCCGUGUACCCUUCAAAAUGGCCUCACACGUCCGUGUGCUAGGUCGUGUAACUGCUUGACUUGCAACCCUUUGUAAGCUAUAGGGGACAUGCGGCCGUGCCACACACAACUGAGACACACACCCCUGUCUUAGGCCAUGUGGACAAGAAUUAGGAUAUUUUCAAGCCAAUUCUUUCACCCAAAAUGUGCACACUUGUGCAACUCAAACGCACCUAAUUCAAGUUUCAAAAAUAUACCUAAAAUGUGAAUAGUCAAGCUAACACAAUAUAAUACUAAUUAUACGACCUAUAUGCCCUAAGGCAUCUCAAUUUACAUGACAUUAAACAUAUCCAAACACAAGCAUAAUAUAGUCAUUAAUAACUUAACAUUCACAAUCUAAAUUCUAUACCAUUUCAUACCACAUUUGCCACAUUCAAACACAUCAAAAUGGUCAUCCAAAACAUGUAUUCACUUGACCACUCCAACACAUACCAUUCAAGUACCAAAAUGCCAAAACAUUUACAAUCAUAAACCAUAUAUACAUACUAACAAAACCACCAAACCUGUAAUAGACAUUUUCAGUGAAAUUAGAAUAGUGGUUUCAAGACCACAAGUCUAAAGUUAAAAAGUUUAUUUUAUUAUUAUUUUAUUGCAUACAACAUUAUAGUAUUACCAUAUAAAAAAAUUUAAGAAAUUUUACGGUUUACAUGCUCAAUUUGAUAAAAAUGACUAAAUCGCUUAAAGUGCAAAAGUUGAGUUCUAAUAGCUAAAGGUAUUAAAUAGCUAUAGAACCUUAGAGUAAGAGUCCUUAUAUGGUAAUUAUACCAUUUAUAUGUUAGUGGAUGAGCAUGGCUUGGAAUUUGUGUAAAUUUGCUUAAUUUUUAAAGUUAAUUAAGUAAAUAGGUAAAUAAUGAUAAAAACUAAUGAAAUAAAAUAUGCUAUCAUCUUUUAUUCUUCAUCAUGAAUCAAAAAUUAGGUUUUGGGAAGCCAUUUUGGUGCUUAAGCUUGCGGCAACUUCGUCUUGCUCUUAUGUAAGUGAUUUUUGUCUCCUUUUUAAUGAUUUCUACGUUUUCGGGAUCGUUGUAGCUUAAUCUAGCUAGCCCGGGGACUAAUUUGUGAAACUAUGAAAAUAUUAGGGUUUUUCCAUUGAUGAAAAUACAUGAUUUUUUAUGUUUGAUGAUAUAAAAUGGAUGGUUGUAGUUAGAUAAACAACUUUUCUUAAAAGAUUUUUGAUGAAAUUGUCAAAUAGGGACUAAAUAAAAAAAUAAAAAAAUAUUACAUGGUGAAAUUGCUAAAUAAUUAAAGUAUAGGGCAUGCUAGGGACCUAGUUGAUAUUCAGCCAUAGUGGAUUGUGGUGAAAAUGCAUAAAUUUCCAUUUUUAUGAGCUAGGGACUAAAUUGUAAAGAAAUUAAAAGUAUAGGGGCAAAAUAGUAAUUUUUCCAAAAUGUGAUUUUGGCCUAAAUUGAAUAAGUUGUGUAUUAAAUUUAGUUAAAUUUAUCCAUAUACAUCAAGACAAACCUCGUACAGAGUUAAAUCGAGACAAAAGGAAAAUCUCAGAUUUCCAUAUCAAAGUAUACUCAUCGAGGUAAGUUCAUGAAAUUAAAUCAUUUUUAUAUGUUUUAGAUUGAAAUAUAUAUGUUAUGAAUUUUCAUACAUAAUUACUAAAUGCAUACCCAACAGCGUACGAUGAUUACCAAGCCUAGUUUGAACCUUAAGAAUCCGUAGGAUACAAAUGACAUGUCAUUAAGGUUUACAUGAUUUGGGUAUUGGUCCUGAACAUCCUACCGAUGGUUGAGGUCCUGUAUGUGUUACAGAUACUCCAUAGCUUGUGUGAGCAACAUCGUGUAGCUACGUUUUGACCCACAGCUCAUGUAAACAUACCGAUUUAUAGCUCAUGAGAGCAUACUGAUCUACAGCUCGAGUGAGCAUAUCGAUCUAUAGCUCGAGUGAGCAUACCGAUUCACAGCUCGUAUGAGCAUCCAUGUACAUGAAUUGAAGAAUUACAGUUAUAUGAGUUAGCACACUAUGUGUGAGCUAUCCUGGGUAUCCAACAAUAUUCUAAACGGUUCAACGGGCAAUGUUCCAAUACGAAUUGAUAAGAUUUUGAUACGAACUAUUACAUGUAUAUACAUGAAUUACAUGGAAAUGUUAUUACAUGGUAUAUAGAAACUUGAAUUGGUCGGUACAUGUACUUGGAACUUGACCAAUUGUUGUAUUCAUCCAUGUUUAUUGGCUUAUAUAUUUGUUUACAUGGCUAACUUGGAUGGUGAAUAUGUGUGUAGGCAUUUGGCCAAAUUGUGUUGGAAUAUGCUUGGUUUACUUACCUAUUAUAUGAUUAAAUGGUAAGUUAUAUUCUUAGUUAUACGAACUUACUAAGCUUAAAUGCUUACUCUGUGUUAUUUUCUAUGUUUUAUAGUGAAUCAAAAGCUCGUUCGAGUUGGAAGCUUGUUGGAGCUAUAUCAUAUUAUCCAUCGGCUCUUUUGGUACAUUCGAUUGUUAAAUUUUGGUUAUAAUGGCAUGUAUAGGUAUUUCGGCUAAUGUUGGUCUAUAUGUUUUGUUGUGGAUAUGGAAAUUUGAUUUGGCUUGUGUUUUGGUAUGUAUACCAGUAGCCUUAAAAUGGUUGAUGAAUGACUUAAUAUGGUUGAAUGAUGGAAGAUGAGGUGAUAGAUGAAUAUGCAUAAUAUAUAUGGUGUAACACCUUUUACCCGAGACCGUUGCCGGAGUCGAUCAUGAGGCAUUACUUGACUUAACUUAUAAGUUCGGGGCAUAAAAAUUUACUUUUAAAAUUUAUUUCACUAUUCACCAUAAUGUUGUGCACCUAUGCAGCAGUCACUAAUUUAAUUAUAACUCAAGUUAAAAAACUCAAAAUUUAGGUCCGUAAAUUUUCCCUUAAACUAGACUCAUAUAUUUUCUUUCCAUAAAUUUUUUAGAAUUUUUGGUUCAUCCAAUCAGUACAUUUUAUUAGUUAAAUUCUACCCUAUUUCACUAUCCGAGUGUCCUGCCCUCUCAUCACUAAAAAUUAAUUAUCUUAUUCUAAAGACUUUAUAUGGUGCUUCCACUUGUUUCUAAUAAAAAUAGACUCACUAAGGAUUUCAUACAUAUAAAUUAUAACUCAUAAUUCUUUGUAUAAAAUCUCAUUCACUCUCUAAUUCCAUUUCUAAUAAUUUUGGUGAUUUUUCAAAUUCACAUCACUGUAGUUGUCCAAAAACUAUACCAUUGCAAAUUUUUACUCUUUUUAUAAUUUCUUUGUAUUAAUCAACAUUUAAACAUCCAUAAUACCAAACAUGUUCUUAGUUAACCAUUUUAAUAGAAAAUCAUUAGCCCUAUCAUAUGAACACACUCAAAAUUACUAAGUCCCUGUACAUGCAAUAGCUUUACACGUUCGAAAUUUCAUAAUAUCGAGAUGUCUGUGGAUAGUGUGAGACGAACUCCGACGUCCUUGUGAUCCCCAACUGACUUGGCGAUUGUAUAAAAAUAAGGAACAUAAAUAAAGUAAGCAUAAAGCUUAGUAAGUUUACAAGUAAAUAAAUAACAACAUUUAUCAUAAACCAUCAUACUCAUAAAUUUUCAUCAAGCACUCGGAUCUUUACUUUCUUCUUUACUUACUCACUUGUUUACUUACUUGCUUGCUUAAAUAACUCACAAUUAUAACUUACUCUUCACUUACUGAAAUUCUUUUUCUCAACUGAUAAUUGAGAUAUUUUCGAUCCUUUAUAACUCACCUGAAUCUAGUUAUCAUGCUUUUGCUUGAACUUUCAUGUAACUUAAUUCAUUUUCUAGCUCGUUGAAUCAUUGGGAAUACUAAGGAUACUCGGGUCUCUUGUCUGAAUAUAACAUGCCAAAGCUAUGUUCCAAACAUAGUCUUACAUGGGUUGUUUCCUGUACUGCCAAUGCCAUAUCCUAGAUAUGGUCUUACAUGGGAUUUCUCAUAUCGGUGCCCAUGCCAUGUCCCAGACAUAGUCUUACGAGGGACCUUUCAUCUCGGUGCCAAUGCCAUGUCCUAGACAUGGUCAUACAUGGGACCUCUCAUAAUCUCAGUGAUGCCAAUGCCAUGUCCCAGGCAUGGUCUUACGUGGGAUCUCUUUACCCAAAUUUCAUGACAUUUGUAUCCAGUACAUUCCUAAUGUUUCAACGGGGCUUGUAUCACUAAUUCUCUGUCAUGUCAUACUUGAGUCAACAUUAUAUAUUUUCAUGAAAUAAAUACAUAAUUGCUGAAAUAUAACAAUAUUAAUAAUACUUAUUGAAAUAUUGUAUUUAUUUACCGUAAACUUACCUCGGUACCAAAUUUGACCAAAUCUAGCAAUUUAGUCUUCAAUCUUUUUCUUUCCCCAGUCUAACUUCAGAUUUCGUUCUUCUUAAUCUAUAAUAGAAAAUUUUUCUUAUUUAAUAUUCACAUUUAUCAAAACAAUCCUUGACUCAAACUUUGGCAAAAUUAUAAUUUUGCCUCUAAACUUGUGCAUAUUUACACUUUUUCCCCAAAGCUCGGAUAUUAAACUUCAUCUCUUAUUCUUAUGUUUUAUGACAUGCUGAACAUUUUUCCCUUCUAUGGUAACAUCAAAUUCCCACUCUAACACUUACUUUUGAAAAUUAGGUAUUUUUACCGAUUAUGUCAUUUUACUCAUUUUCACUUAAAAUCGGCUUGCAAAAGUUAUUAAACAUAAUUUAAAGCUUCAUAUUCUACCAUAAAACAUCAAAAUAAACACAUUUCACCUAUGUUUAUUUUUCCAAAUAUAAACCCUAGUUUAAAUUAUUGCUAGAAUAAGCUAAAUCAAGUUACCGGGACUCUAAAAACGUAAAGAACAUUAAAAACGGGGCUUGGGAUCACUUACUAUAGAGCUUGAAAGCUUGAAAACCCUAACUAUGGCUUCCCCCAUUGCUAAUUUCGGCCAAAUGAAGAAUAUGAACAAAAAUUGGCUUUUAAUUUUGUUUUUAAUUCAUUUUAAUAACUAAAUGACCAAAAUGUCCUUAAUGAAAAUCUUUGGAAACAAGUCUAACCAUGUCCAUUUUUGUCCACGAACUUAACCAAUGGUCUAAUUACCAUAUAAGGACCUCCAAAUUAAAAUUUCAUAACAAUUAGACACAUCUAACAUGUAGAACUCAACUUUUGCACUUUUUACAGUUUAGUCCUUUUUACUAAAUUGAGUGCCCAAACGUUGAAAUUUUCGAACGAAAUUUUCACAAACUCAUUCCGUGAAAUCGUAGACCAUAAAAAUAUAAUAAAAAUAAAUUUUAUCACGUCGAAUUUGUGGUCCCAAAACCACUAUUUCUACUAGGCCCAAAAUUAUGAUGUUACAUUUCUCCCACUUUAGGGAUUUUCGUCACCGAAAAUUUUACCUAUGAAGAAAUUUGGGUACUGUUUUAACAUAGCCUCUUCGGGAUCGCAUGUAGCCUCAUCAACCCCAUGCCUAUUCCAUAACACUUUCACAAGUGCAAUACUCUUGUUCCUUAGUUGCUUGAUCUCUCUAUCUAGAAUUUUUACCGGUUCUUCAACAUAAGUCAUGUCUGGCUGAAUCUCAACCUCUGUCGGUGAGAUCACAUGUGACGGAUCGGAACGGUAAUGACGUAGCAUAGACACAUGGAACACAUUAUGAAUAUUAUCUAACUCAGUUGGAAAAGCUAACCGAUAUGCUAAGGGCCCAAUUCUUUCAGUCACCUCAAACGGUCCAAUAAAAGGUCGACUUAGUUUGCCUUUCUUGCCAAAUCUGAAAAUUUUCUUCCCCGGGGAUACUUUUAAAAAAACUUUGUCACCAACUUGAUACUCGAUCUCUUUUCUUUUUAAAUCUGCAUAAGACUUUUGUCUGUUUGAAGCUGCUUUUAAACAAUCUCUAAUAACUUUUACUUUCUCUUCCGUUUCUUUGACUAAAUCAACCUCAUAAAUCUGAUUUUCCUUAAGCUUUGUCCAAUACAAAGGCAUACAACACUUACAUCCAUACAAAGCUUCAUAAGGAGCCAUUUUUAAACUCAACUGAUAACUAUUAUUAUAGGCAAACUCUACCAACGGCAAAUAUUUCUCCCAACUACCUUGAAAUUCUAAAAUACAACAUCUGAGCAUAUCUUCAAGUAGCUAAAUAACUCUCUCCUACUGACCAUCGGUCUGAAGAUGGAAAGCCAUACUAAAGUUCAACUUUGUACCUAAAGCUUCCUGCAAUUUCCUCCAAAAUCACGAAGUAAAUCUUAGAUCUCUGCCUGAGAUGAUCGGUAACGGUACCCCAUGUAAUCUCACUAUCUCUGAAACAUACAAUUCAGUCAACUUGUCAAGUGAAUAACCCAUACGAACCGGGAUAAAAUGAGUUGAUUUCGUUAGCUUAUCAAUCACAACCCAUACUACAUCUUUCUUUCUCGGUGUCAACGGCAACCCUGCUACAAAAUCCAUGGUAACUCGGUCCCAUUUCCACUCAGGAACUAACACAGGCUGCAAUAAACCUGAAGGUACAUAAUGUUCGACCUUUACCUGUUGAGAGAUCAAGCAUCUAGAAACAAAUUCUGAAAUAUCUCUUUUCAUUCUUACCCACCAGUACAUUUUCUUUAAAUCAUUAUACAUCUUUGUACUACCUGGGUGAAUAGACAAAUAACUGCUAUGUGCUUCCUGUAAGAUCUUUCGAAUAAGCUCAUCAUUCUUCGGUACACAUAUCUGAUUUCUGAACAUCAAACAACCAUCAGAACCAAUCUGAAAAUCAGACUCUACACCUGACACGCACUAAGCUCUUUUAGCUUGCAACUCAUUGUCAUCAUUCUGAGCUUUACAGAUUUCUUUGAGAAACAUCAGUUUAGCCAUCAACUCAGCUAAAAUGGAACCAUCAUUAGAUUAAUCAAAACUGGUAUUCAAAGCUCUCAAUGCAAAUAAAGAUUUUCUACUCAAGGCAUGAGAAACAACAUUUGCCUUACCUGGGUGGUAAUCGAUCACUAACUCAUAAUCUUUAAUCAAUUCCAGCCAUCUUCCUUGCCUCAAGUUCAAAUCUUUUUGAGUCAUCAAGUACUUCAAGCUUUUAUGGUCAGUAAAUAUUUGGCACUUUCACCGUACAAGUAAUGUCUCCAGAUCUUCAACACAAAUACAAUGGCAGCCAGCUUUAAGUCGUGCGUCAGGUAAUUUUUCUAGUGUCGCUUUAACUGUCUGGAAGCAUAUGCAAUGACUUUAUCUUCUUGCAUAAGUACACAACCCAAUCCGUUCAAGGAUGCAUCACUAUAAAUCACAAAUUCUUUACUCGGUUUUAAUUGUUCUAAAAUAAGAGCUUCAGUCAACAAUGCCUUUAACUUGUCAAAACUCUACUGACACUUUUCAAUCUAUUCAAACUUGACAUCUUUCUGGAACAAUCUUGUCAACGGGGUAGCUAUCAUGGAAAAUCCCUUUACAAAUCAUCUGUAAUAGCCAACUAAUCCAAGAAAACUUCUAACCUCUGACACAUUUUUGGGUGGUUUCCACUCAAAAAUUAUUGAAAUUUUACUCGGAUCAACUUUAAUACCAUCACCUGAGACAAUAUGUCUAAGGAAUCCAACUUCCCGAAACCAGAACUCACUUUAACUAAACUUGGCAUAAAGCUUAUUAUCUCUCAAAAUCUGUAAAACGGUUCUCAAAUGCUUGGCAUGUUCAAUCUCAUUAUGAGAAUAAAUCAGCAUAUCAUCAAUGAACACAACUAAAAAUUUAUCCAAGUAAGGUCUAAAAAUUCGGUUCAUUAAGUUCAUGAAAAUAGCAGGAGCAUUAGUCAAGCCAAAUCGCAUCACAACAAACUCAUAGUGACCAUACCUAGUCCGAAAAGUAGUCUUCGGAACAUCUGACUCUUUAACCCUCAACUGAUAAUAACCGAAUCUCAAAUCUAUCUUGGAAAACACAGUAGCUCCCUUCAAUUGGUCAAACAGAUUAUCAGUUCUAGGUAGUGGAUAUUUUUUCUUUACAGUUACUUUGUUAAGCUGCCGAUAAUCUAUGCAUAAUCUCAUCGAACUGUCUUUCUUUUUCACAAAAAGCACUGGUGCACUCCACGGAGAACAACUAGGCUUUGCAAAACCUUUAUCAGUUAAUUCCUGCAACUGAGCUUUUAAUUCUUUCAAUUCCAACGGGGCCAUUCUAUAAGGAGCAAUAGAAAUAGGAGUUGUACUUGGAAUCAACUCAAUACCAAAUUCAACUUCUCUAAUAUGAGGCAAACCUAGUAAUUCUUUCGAAAACACAUCUAAAUACUCACGUACCACUGGCACUGAUUCAAUUUUCAACUAUGGAUCUCCAGUGUUCAAUACAAAAGCAAGAUAAGCUUCACACCCUUUUCUCAAACAUUUCUGAGCAGACAUAAUAGAAAUCAUGGCAAGAGAACUAUCUGGCUCUUCUGAAUUAACCCGGAUAAUAUCACUAUUUUUACAUUUCAACUUAAUGUAUUUCUUUCCGCAAUUCACUAUCACAUCAUGGGCAGACACCAUAAUAAGGUAAAUUGACUUAACAACUCUUAUCGAAGCUCACACGAAGUUAUUUCUUUUUACCAACCGAUAGCCAAAGCAAACUCAUUUCAUAAUUCGAUAGUCGAAGCUAUCUAUUUUCAUAAUUUGAUAGUCGAAGCUAUCCCUUUACAUAGUUUGAUGGUCGUCACCAUCUCUUUUCAUAAUUUGAUAGUCGAAGCUAUCCCUUUUCAUUAUUUGAUGGUCGUCACCAUCCCUUUUCAUAAUUUGAUAGUUGAAGCUAUCCCUUUCCAGUAGUCGAUGAUUAUCGAUAUGCCGUUGGAUUUUUCCACUUAAACACAAUUGGAUAUUAUAUAAAAUAAUAGCAUUUAAAACAUAAUUUGAAAUAUUAUUUCAAUGUACGAACUUACCUCGAUGGUAAACAUAGAAAUGUUGUUGCUUAAUUUGAAGCUUUUUCUUUGCCUCAAUCUAGAGCCAUACGCAGUCUAUCUUGAUCUAAAUGAAUAAAUUUGAUCAAUUUAAUAACUAUUCUAUUCAAUUCAACCCUAAUUCACAUUUUUGAAAAUUACACUUUUUUCGCUAAUGUUUUUAUUUGUUCAAAUUAGUCCUUAGGGUCGUAAAAUGAAAUUCAUGCAAAUUCACCCCUACCCAACCCUAGCCAAAUUUCUUACAAGCUCAUACUAGCUCACACAUUUCAUUAUUUCACAAGUUACACCAUGAAUAUUUCACAUUUUAAAAUUUAAUCCAUAGUAGAAAAUUUCAACAAAAAUCACUUACUAAAAGUUGUUUAUCUAACAACUAACCAUUUUCUUUCAUCAAACAUACAAAUCAAUAAAUACAAAUUUAUGGUAAAUCCAUAAAAUUUUAAAAAAUUUUCAAAUUAGUCCCCAGGCUAUCUAGAUUAAGCUACAAUGAUCCCGAAAACAUAGAAGUCAUUAAAAACGGAAUAAAAACUACUCACAUGCAAGCAAAAGAGUGAUGGACGAAUGUUGGAUCUUCUCUUAUGGCUUUCCUUAGGUUAAAUUUUGGUUGAAUAUGAUUAAAGAAAUAUGAUUACAUUGAUUUUUCUUAAUUUUUAUCAUUAUUUACCAAUUUACCUUUAUAACCUUUUAAAACAUUAAAAAUUUCAUUAAUACCAAGCCAUGUACAUCCACGAUCUUCAUUAAUGGUCUAAUUGCUACAUAAGGACUCAUAAUUUAAGGUUCUAUAGCUAUUUAAUACAUUUAGCUAUGAGAACACUACUUUUUCACUUUAUGCGAUUUAGUCCAUUUUAUCAAAUUCAUCAUGCAAACGGUAAAUUUUCGUAUUAAAAUUUUUAUACAGUAAUACUAACUUGUUGUAGAUGUUAAAAUAAUAAUCAAAUAAAUGUUUCUACAUUAGAAUUAUUGUCCCGAAACAAUUGUUCUGAUUUCACUAAAAACAGGCUGUUACACAGUUAUUUCCAAGAGCUAGGCUUUCAUAGUUAGUAUAAGAAUCGCUAUGGGUAUUUCUAGUUAUAGUUAUAUUUUUUUCCGUUGUUAUUUUUUUGUAAUCCCAACCCUGGAAGCUCACAUUACUGAAUAUGACAAGUACUGAAAGGCACGAGAAUUGGAAGCCAUUAAGAACCUGGACAACGCCUAUCACCCCAACCCGGAGGACGUGGUCCGCCAUUACAAUGACCACUUCUCUAGGACCAUGCUUGAGUUUAAUAGUACAGAAAGGAUGUUAAAGGAAUUGAGAAAGGGUCUGUGUCACGUUACCAACCCUGUUGAUAGGUGCUAGCAAUGUGAUCCUGACUAGGAAAAGAACAAGAAGAAGUUGGCUGACAGUGCCCCUAGAUUUGCUCGUGGUACUACCACUGGAAAGGGUGGUGAGUUUUAUGUGGUCACUGAUCCUAUAAAUAAUGUUGUUGACCCCAAGCCAAGAACUCUAUGUCAUGCUACAACCCAAACUGGACCACUUUGGAUCACUUUCAAAAGGUCCAUGACCAUUAAGCUGGAACAGGAGCUCAUUGUUACAAGUGACAAGAUCAUUGAUGCGAGGGGAGCCAAUAUGAAAAUUUGCAAUGCUGCUGGUAUUACUUUCUAGUUUACAAAGCAUGUUAUUAUCCAUGGCCUCCAUAUCCAUCACAUUAUUCCCACCAAGUGAUGCGAACCAGCCUGCGAACCUAGCUAACACCAAACGAGGUCCCCUCGAGCUCCCCAUUGGACCAAUUACUCAAGUUCCCCAUUGGACCAAUUACUCGAGCUCGAGCUAAACAUUUUAAAGAAUCACUAUCAACUCUAUUUGAAUGAACUUGGGAGAAAGCUACAAAGGGGUUGGAUGACUCAUCAAGUAGCAUCUUCAAUUUAUUGGAAGCUGAAUUCAAAUCAGCUAGCUAACUUAGCUAGCUAUACUUGAACAUCUUAAUUAUUUUAGCUCAUUUAAUUUUGUUUAGCUCACUACAGCUUGAAUUACAUUUCUUAAAUGUGUCUUAGUCCAUUACGUAUUUAGUUGUGUGUUUAAUUUUCUUUAAAGUUAUUUUUUUAAUUUGUCUUACCAGGUUUUAAGGUAUACGACUGGACAAAUGCACAUUACCGAUUCAAUGAGGCUCAUUCAAUGAGGUGCAUGUACCUAAAUAUGCUUGAACUUUGGGAGCUGAUUAUUAGUUGAACAUACAUGUACCUUCCAGGUUCAUCAAAGCUAAUUAUUAUGGAAGCAUGUAUCCGACCAUGCACAUACGGAAGGCAUCAUCUUGCAGCUAAAUAUUCAUGUAUCUAGCCGAUACAUAGGAGCUAAUUAAUAUAGCACAUUGUACCCUAUUUAUGCAUGAAUCUUGAGCUGGUGUUUAGUGCAUUCAUUCAGCUCAUUAUUCAUGCAUCCAUUUCCAAAAGAUAUGAGCAGAUUCGCUACCAUUUAAGAGACCAUUCGUUGUUUGCUGAUUCACAGCUCAAGUCUCUUCAUAACCAAGUGUUCACAUCUCAAAGACCAUUUGAUUGCAAGCAAGGACAUUCACCAGCUACUUCUCAUUUGGUGCACCUCUUAGAAAUUACUUUCAUUCACCGAAUCCAACUCCAUUUAGCUCACCCAUCAACACCAUGAACCAAGGUUGUUUCGUCGCCUACUUAGUUAAAUUCAUUGGAUUAUUCCAGCUGGAAAUCAAAUCACUUUAGCUUCAUGUAUCUACUUUUAAAUCAUGUCCAUUCGGCUGGUUCUCUAUUAGCUUAUAAAUAGCACAAUUGUAAACCUUUUGAAGGUUAACUAAGAACUUUUGACAUACAAGAAUUAUAACUUUGUGAGUUAUUCACUCUCAUUUUUCUUUGAGAUUCAACUUGACUUAUCUAGCUAAGCUAGUGGCGUCAUCCUUGUUUCUUUCUAAACUUAUCACUCGUCCGAGUGUGGCGUUCAAACUUAUAUCGUUGGUUCCUAUCUUGCUAUAUAGUGGGUCACGGUCCUAUCCAACUAUCCAUCUUUUCACCUUAAAACUUAUAAGAUUCAGGUCCUUAAUCUCUAUUAAUGGUUUUUUCUUAUUUUAAGUUCUUUUAUCCAUCUAUCCAUUAAACUAUCUUUGUUAUUAAUUUCGCUGCCUAUUUAAACUAUCUUCUUAAAUUUAUCUUUUUUUAAACCAAAAAUAAGAACUACUUAAUUUUUGAUGGGCAAUCAAACGACUCAAUUACAUCCCGUAAUCGAGUUCGUAUCACCAAGGGUGGAAAGAUCAAGGAUGGUGAAAACCACCUUGGGUUUCGGACUGCUAGCGAUGGAGAUGGAGUCUCUCUUUUUGAAGCAACCAAUAUUUGGCUCGACUAACUUUCCCUUCACCAUUGCAUUGAUGGUCUUAUAGAUGUCAUUCAAGGCUCCAUUGCCGUUACCAUUUCUAACUGCCACUUCACUAACCACAACAAUGUACUAUUACUUUCUUUUCUAUUUUAAACUAGGCACGAUGAGGAAUUUUUUGAGUAACAAAAUAGUAUAAUUAAAAUGAAAAAAAUUACAGGUGACAGUUGUUCAGAGUAAGAGACUCCUACAGUGCCGACAAGAAGAUGCAAGUCACUAUUGCUUUGAACCACUUUGGUAAAGGAUAGGUAGAGAGGAUGCCUAGGUGCCGAUUUGGUUUUAUUCAUGUCAUCAACAAUCACUACAAUCAUUGGUUUUUGUAUGCCAUUGGUGGCACCAGCCACCCUACAAUUACCAGCCAGGGAAACAGGUAUUCCGCACCAGGCACCUUUGCGACUAAGGAGGUGACCUGUAGGGGCCUCUUAAAACCGGCACAGUGGAAGAAUUGGAACUAGGUAUCACAAGGUGACCAUUUCAAAAACGAUCCCAUUUUUAACCUAUCCGGUAAUUUGAGUGCCAGCAGCCAAUUUGGUGCCGACAAAAUGAUGCCUUUCAAACCUAUUCAAAUAGUCCCCAAACUCACAAAGUAUGUCGGACCACUCAGCUGCACAAUAUGCCGUCCUUACGAAAUACAUUAUUUUUAUAUGCAUGUGUCUUUUUCACGUACAACAUUUGAUACCCAAGCAUAGUACAUUUG